rnacentral:miRNA from 1 species
UGUUCUGGGGACCCUGACCGGG